GCCUCCCCAGGAACCUCACGUCUCUCUACAUGUGCUGCGCCACUGGCAACACCAAGCUCCCCACCACACCCCCUGGUGUUGGCGCGCCCUUCCCGAGGACCUGCCCCCCGCACCGUCCUCUUGCUGAAGGAGUCACGUCCGACCCGACACGGGGCAUGACAAACUGCCGGAUGUGACGUCAUCGCCCCACGACGGGUCGGACGCCUUCAGCAAGAGACGGAGGACAAGGAGAGGAGGAGGAGGAGGAGGAGGCUCAGGCGGGCGAGGUCAAGGCCUCUCCCCACGCCGACACCACCAUCCUGUUCGUGAAGGGAGACGGUGCGUAACCCCGGCGCCGUGGCCUCGGUGAUGUGGUGGCUCUGACGCCGUCUCCUCCCCCAGACUUCCCGGCAAUGACGUGGUCAAGUUCCUGCUGGGCUUCAACAACAAGGGCCCAGAGAACUUUGUGGUGGAGUCCCUGGACGCCUCCUUCCGCUACCCUCAGGAUUACCAGUUCUACAUCCAGAACUUCACGGCGCUGCAGCUGGGCAC